rnacentral:rRNA from 1 species
CUUCUUCCUACGGUCCCGCGGCUCGGUCCAGGUACCACUGGCGCAGUUCUGGCAAGGCGGCUGCCCCUCCGAGGGAUCCCGCCGGUUCCUCUUUCUCUCGUUCAACCGGUUCCUCGAGUCCUCCCUCGACCUCGCAUGGAACUUGGUCUACUUACUGAACCACGCGUAGAAUGACCGGUGAAUAACAAUAACCAGGUAUAUGAGGGACGGCGACGCGAGACCGAAGAUGAGCGUUCAUUCGAGGAGAAGGAGGAGAUGGGGGAGGGGGAGG